GAUGAACGCUGGCGGCGUGCUUAACACAUGCAAGUCGAACGAAACACCUUAUUUGAUUUUCUUCGGAACUGAAGAUUUGGUGAUUGAGUGGCGGACGGGUGAGUAACGCGUGGGUAACCUGCCCUGUACAGGGGGAUAACAGUCAGAAAUGACUGCUAAUACCGCAUAAGACCACAGCACCGCAUGGUGCAGGGGGAAAAACUCCGGCGGUACAGGAUGGACCCGCGUCUGAUUAGCUGGUUGGUGAGGUAACGGCUCACCAAGGCGACGAACAGUAGCCGGCUUGGGAGAGUGAAAGGCCACAUUGGAACUGAGACCCAGCCCAAACUCCUACGGGAGGCAGCAGUGGGGAAUAUUGCACAAUGGGGGAAACCCUGAUGCAGCGACGCCGCGUGAGUGAAGAAGUAUUUCGGUAUGUAAAGCUCUAUCAGCAGGGAAGAAAAUGACGGUACCGGACAAAGAAGCCCCGGCUAACUACGUG
rnacentral:rRNA from 1 species